rnacentral:tRNA from 1 species
UUUUCUUAUAGUAAAAAAAAUUACUUAGUAUUUUCAUUACUAAAUUGUUUAUAAAACUAAGAAAAG